rnacentral:rRNA from 1 species
UGUAUAGGAACUUGCCUAGUAGUGGGGGACAACGUGUGGAAACGCACGCUAAUACCGCAUACGCUCUACGGAGGAAAGCGGGGGAUCUUUCGGGACCUCGUGCUACUAGAUAGGCCUAUAUUGGAUUAGCUAGUUGGUAAGGUAAAGGCUUACCAAGGCGACGAUCCAUAGCUGGUUUGAGAGAAUGAUCAGCCACACUGGGACUGAGACACGGCCCAGACUCCUACGGGAGGCAGCAGUGGGGAAUAUUGCACAAUGGAGGAAACUCUGAUGCAGCAAUGCCGCGUGUGUGAAGAAGGC